rnacentral:rRNA from 1 species
AGAGUUUGAUUAUGGCUCAGGAUGAACGCUGGCGGCGUGCUUAACACAUGCAAGUCGAACGAGGUCCAACCUUCGGGUGAAGACCGAGUGGCGAACGGGUGAGUAACACGUGGGGAACCUGCCCUUCUCUCUGGGAUAACCUCGGGAAACCGAAGCUAAUACCGGAUACUCCUUGCGGACCGCAUGGUCUGCUCGGGAAAGCUCCGGCGGAGAAGGAUGGCCCCGCGGCCCAUUAGCUUGUUGGUGGGGUAACGGCCCACCAAGGCGACGAUGGGUAGCCGAGCUGAGAGGCUGAUCGGCCACACUGGGACUGAGACACGGCCCAGACUCCUACGGGAGGCAGCAGUGGAGAAUCUUGCGCAAUGGGCGAAAGCCUGACGCAGCAACGCCGCGUGCGGGAUGAAGGCUCUCGGGUCGUAAACCGCUUUCAGCAGGGAUGAAAAUGACAGUACCUGCAGAAGAAGCCCCGGCUAAAUACGUGCCAGCAGCCGCGGUAAUACGUAUGGGGCAAGCGUUAUCCGGAUUCAUUGGGCGUAAAGCGCGCGUAGGCGGCUUGUUAAGUCAGGCGUGAAAUCCGGGGGCUCAACCCGCGGCUUGCGUCUGAAACUGGCAGGCUUGAGUCUGGUAGAGGAAAGUGGAAUUCCUGGUGUAGCGGUGAAAUGCGCAGAUAUCAGGAGGAACACCAGUGGCGAAGGCGGCUUUCUGGGCCACGACUGACGCUGAGGCGCGAAAGCUAGGGGAGCGAACAGGAUUAGAUACCCUGGUAGUC